rnacentral:lncRNA from 1 species
AAAUAAGUAAAAUUUAGAUUGUAAGUUAUGAUUCUCUCUCUGUUCUCUCUUACUUAUUUUUCACAGAGAAAUUGAGAUGAGAGUCAGUGACUUCGCUUGACGCCGGUUCGUUUACGGCGAUCAGCUUCCCGUCCGUCGGGAUUUUUUCCGAUAUCCAUUAGCUUCUACAAGGAUGGAUUGUUCGGCUUUCGACUCUGGGGCUCAUCCUUUCUCAGGAUGUAGUCGCCGGCUUUUGACUCUGGCGAUCCACCUUCCCCUCCGGUGGUUUCGGCCGGCUUUGCUCCGGGUUAAUCUCGGAUUUAUUUUCUUCUUACCUGAUCUUUGCUUUUGAGUUUUAUGAUUCAUUAUGUCAUCAAUCUUCUGUGAUUGAGGACAUGCAAAUGAAUCUCUUAUAUAAAGCAUAGAUCUGUCCUUAUAGAUCGACAACGUUAAUGGUUUGGUGAUUUUG